CCUACGGGGGGCUGCAGUGAGGCAUAUUGGUCACUGGGCGGAAGCCUGAACCAGCCAAGUAGCGUGCGGGAUGCAGGCCCUACGGGUCGUAAACCGCUUUUGCACGGGGAUAACACCCUACACUUGUGGAGGUCUGCAGGUACCGUGCGCAUAAGGGCCGGCUAAUUCCGUGCCCGCAGCCGCGGUAAUACGGAAGGCCCGAGCGUUAUCCGGAUUCAUUGGGCUUAAAGGGCGCGUAGGCGGGCGUUCAAGUCAGCUGUAAAAUCGCGCGGCUCAACCGCGCCCCGCAGUGGAAACUGGACGCAUUGAGUUCACAACAGGCAGGCGGAAUUCGUGGUGUAGCGGUGAAAUGCAUAGAUA
rnacentral:rRNA from 1 species